rnacentral:rRNA from 1 species
GGGUUGUGAGGUUAAGCGACUAAGCGUACACGGUGGAUGCCCUGGCAGUCAGAGGCGAUGAAGGACGUGCUAAUCUGCGAUAAGCGUCGGUGAGGUGAUAUGAACCGUUAUAACCGGCGAUUUCCGAAUGGGGAAACCCAGUGUGUUUCGACACACUAUCAUUAACUGAAUCCAUAGGUUAAUGAGGCGAACCGGGGGAACUGAAACAUCUAAGUACCCCGAGGAAAAGAAAUCAACCGAGAUUCCCCCAGUAGCGGCGAGCGAACGGGGAGGAGCCCAGAGCCUGAAUCAGUGUGUGUGUUAGUGGAAGCGUCUGGAAAGGCGUGCGAUACAGGGUGACAGCCCCGUACACAAAAAUGCACAUAUUGUGAGCUCGAUGAGUAGGGCGGGACACGUGGUAUCCUGUCUGAAUAUGGGGGGACCAUCCUCCAAGGCUAAAUACUCCUGACUGACCGAUAGUGAACCAGUACCGUGAGGGAAAGGCGAAAAGAACCCCGGCGAGGGGAGUGAAAAAGAACCUGAAACCGUGUACGUACAAGCAGUGGGAGCCUCUUAAUGGGGUGACUGCGUACCUUUUGUAUAAUGGGUCAGCGACUUAUAUUCUGUAGCAAGGUUAACCGAAUAGGGGAGCCGAAGGGAAACCGAGUCUUAACUGGGCGUUAAGUUGCAGGGUAUAGACCCGAAACCCGGUGAUCUAGCCAUGGGCAGGUUGAAGGUUGGGUAACACUAACUGGAGGACCGAACCGACUAAUGUUGAAAAAUUAGCGGAUGACUUGUGGCUGGGGGUGAAAGGCCAAUCAAACCGGGAGAUAGCUGGUUCUCCCCGAAAGCUAUUUAGGUAGCGCCUCGUGAAUUCAUCUCCGGGGGUAGAGCACUGUUUCGGCAAGGGGGUCAUCCCGACUUACCAACCCGAUGCAAACUGCGAAUACCGGAGAAUGUUAUCACGGGAGACACACGGCGGGUGCUAACGUCCGUCGUGAAGAGGGAAACAACCCAGACCGCCAGCUAAGGUCCCAAAGUCAUGGUUAAGUGGGAAACGAUGUGGGAAGGCCCAGACAGCCAGGAUGUUGGCUUAGAAGCAGCCAUCAUUUAAAGAAAGCGUAAUAGCUCACUGGUCGAGUCGGCCUGCGCGGAAGAUGUAACGGGGCUAAACCAUGCACCGAAGCUGCGGCAGCGACACUAUGUGUUGUUGGGUAGGGGAGCGUUCUGUAAGCCUGUGAAGGUGGCCUGUGAGGGUUGCUGGAGGUAUCAGAAGUGCGAAUGCUGACAUAAGUAACGAUAAAGCGGGUGAAAAGCCCGCUCGCCGGAAGACCAAGGGUUCCUGUCCAACGUUAAUCGGGGCAGGGUGAGUCGACCCCUAAGGCGAGGCCGAAAGGCGUAGUCGAUGGGAAACAGGUUAAUAUUCCUGUACUUGGUGUUACUGCGAAGGGGGGACGGAGAAGGCUAUGUUGGCCGGGCGACGGUUGUCCCGGUUUAAGCGUGUAGGCUGGUUUUCCAGGCAAAUCCGGAAAACCAAGGCUGAGGCGUGAUGACGAGGCACUACGGUGCUGAAGCGACAAAUGCCCUGCUUCCAGGAAAAGCCUCUA